AUGCUUUUUUUUUUUUUUUUGGUAGGCUGGUAUAUUGUAUUGAUUGGUGAUGAAAAAUGGCAACAAAGUCGUUGAACAACAUUUGGAUUCGACGACAGCAGUGCCCUUGUGGAGACUGGAAGUGUUAUAUCAAGUACGAAGGAGACGAUCAAACAGCAAUAGGUUCUCAACUAGUGAAGAGCGAGACAUCAUUGUUGUCGCCCGCAGAGGUUGUUUUCACUCCUUAUGUUGGUCAGAUAUUCAAAAGUGAUGAUGAAGCAUUUGAGUACUAUAGCAACUUUGCAAGGAAAAAUGGGUUUUCAAUUAGGAAGGCACGCUCGACAGAAAGCCAAAAUCUAGGGGUCUAUAGAAGAGAUUUUGUUUGUUACCGUUCCGGUUUUAACCAGCCUAGGAAAAAGGUCAAUGUGGAGCACCCCAGGGAUCGAAAAUCGGUACGGUGUGGAUGUGAUGCAAAAUUGUAUUUGACUAAAGAAAUCAUUGAUGGUGUCACACAAUGGUACAUUUCACAGUUCAGUAAUGUCCAUAACCAUGAGUUAUUGGAAGAUGACCAAGUGCGUCUGCUUCCUGCCUAUAGGAAAAUACAAGAAGCUGAUCAAGAAUGCAUUCUUUUGCUUUCCAAAGCUGGGUUUCCUGUAAAUCGUAUCGUGAAGGUGUUGGAAAUAGAAAGGGGAGUUCAACCGGGACAGUUGCCCUUUAUAGAGAAAGAUGUUAGGAAUUUUAUUAGGACUUGUAAGAAAACAGUUCAAGAAAAUGAUGUGUUGCUCACUGAGAAAAGAGAAAAUGAUCUGUUGGAACUUCUUGAGGCUUGCAAGGAUAAGGCGGAGAUGGAUGAAGGAUUUGUUUUCAAUUUUACAACAGAUGAACACGGUAAAGUUGAGAACAUUGCAUGGUCAUAUGGGGAUGCUGUCCGUGUAUUUGCUGUCUUUGGUGAUGUUGUAACCUUUGACACCAAUUAUCGCUCUCUCACUUAUAAUCUGCUUCUUGGUGUGUGGUUUGGCAUUGACAAUCAUGGCAAGGCGAUUUUCCUUGGGUCUGUUCUGCUACAAGAUGAAAGUGCUCAGUCAUUUUCUUGGGCAUUACAGACAUUUGUACGAUUCAUGAGAGGAAGGAGACCUCAGACGAUUGUAACUGAUAUUGAUUCGGGGCUCAGAGAUGCGAUAGCAAUUGACUUGCCAAAUACUAAACAUGUUAUCAGUAUAUGGCAGAUCCUUUCCAAAUUAUCUAGUUGGUUCUCUUUGCCACUUGGGGUGCAGUAUGAAGAAUUCAAAUCUGAGUUUGAUACUUUGUGUCAUAUGGAGAACAUUGAGGAUUUUGAACACCAGUGGAACCAUCUGGUUGCUCGAUUCGGACUUGGUUCAGAUAAACACAUAGCUCUACUCUUUUCUUAUCGAGCAUCUUGGCCUUUUUCCUAUACUAGAGGUUACUUUCUAGCUCGCACUGUAAGACCCGAGUAUUCAAAAUCAGUGGACGCAUUCUUGAAGGGCAUCGUGUCUGCACAAGCAUGCUUGAAAGUCAUGUUUGAACAGAUUGGUUCUGGUGCCAACUUUGGAUAUGAUUACCGGGGAGAGCUGCAGUAUAUGCCCACUAAAACUUGCCUUCCUAUUGAAGAACACGCACGCGGUAUAUUAACUCCUUAUGCCUUCAAUGUGUUACAACAUGAAAUCAUGCUGUCUAUGCAGUAUGCGGCAACGGACAUGGGUAAUGGUUCAUUUUUAGUGAGGCACUACAAGAAAAUGGAAGGAGAAUCUCUUGUGUUUUGGAUGCCAGAAGACGAGCAGGUUCACUGCUCUUGUAAAGAGUUUGAGCAUUCUGGCAUAUUAUGCAGACAUUCUGUACGAGUGCUUGUACUGAAGAACUACUUUCAAAUCCCAGAAAAGUAUUUUCCACCAAGAUGGAGACGUGAGAGUUGCUUAGUUCAUGUCGAUGAUCCAAUCACUCAAUUCAGCAAUGAUGAGUGUUCUCAAGUCUUUCAUUCCCUUACCGCGACUCUUUUUGCAGAAUCAUUGAUUUCAAAGGAACGUUUUUGUUAUGUUAAUAGAGAACUUUCGCAGAUUCUUCAGAAUGUUCAAAACAUGCCAUCUAACAAUGAAGUUGCUAUGAAUUUGGCACCUAACAAUGCCAAUGAAUUGUAGGUUUGCGGCUAGAGCAUGUUGACAAAUAUAACUGCUCUAGAGUCCUUGUAUUUUGAAAGUUUAGGGAAAUUGGAUGAAAGCAUCGAAAAGGUUGUCCUGUGAGCUAUUUUAGUGGUUGAUGGCCUUGGCAAAGUUUGGGGGCAAUUCAACAGUGUAGGACUGAAGUACCCUUCUUCUCAAUGGAUCAAGUUGUUUGUUUUGUUUUAAUUUCCCUCAUGUAUUGUUUUGUUUUGUUUUGUUUUUUUCCCACUAAGCUAUAUCAGGACGUUUGCAGAGUUAGUUUUUGGUGGGUAAAGCCAUGUGUAGUUUUAAAUGUGAGAGAAGCAGAUGUUCCUGAAGUAUGAAUCUAUAAGGAAGAAUGAAUUCAAGACUUACCUUUC